ensembl:snoRNA
AUCCUUUUGUAGUUCAUAGGUGUGAUGAUUGGAUGUUCAUGCUGUUAUGUGACAUGUGCCAGCCACCCUUAAACCUUGUUACAAUGUUGGCACAUUACCUGUCUGAUG